rnacentral:rRNA from 1 species
UACGGGGGGGGCAAGCGUUGUUCGGAAUUACUGGGCGUAAAGGGCUCGUAGGCGGCCAACUAAGUCAGACGUGAAAUCCCUCGGCUUAACCGGGGAACUGCAUCUGAUACUGGAUGGCUUGAGUUCGGGAGAGGGAUGCGGAAUUCCAGGUGUAGCGGUGAAAUGCGUAGAUAUCUGGAGGAACACCGGUGGCGAAGGCGGCAUCCUGGGCCGGUACUGACGCUGAGGAGCGAAAGCGUGGGGAGCAAACAGG